rnacentral:lncRNA from 1 species
UCGAGGGUUUGAGAUUUUUCACUCCAGAAUGCAUGUUCUUUUUCACCAGUCAGUAAAACAGAUAACCCCCAUUCGAGGACUCUGCCAAGCCUCCCUGAGCAACAUUGAACAAGUUUGAAAUUUAGCUCUUACAGCGACAUAAACUUCAUGUUUACCUAUCUUAACUGUUGCAAUUCUUUCAAGUCAAUAUUCAUCCAUUUUAAAAGUAACAAGCAGCAUGUAAUUUACAACAUCCAAUGUUAGUUACAAGACCACAUGGAAUAAGCUAGUUUCUGGCGUUAAUCCACACCAUAAAUAUAAGAUCACAGUAGGAUGUGCCCCAUUCACCAUUAUACUAAAAUAUGAUUUUAUGUACAGUGCACUACACAUACACUCUAUUAUUACCAUGGUAAUGUGUAGCUGCCUCAGGCUCUUACAUAACAGGUAAAGUAUGAAGCAACAU